rnacentral:tRNA from 1 species
GCCUCUAUAGUGAUAAUUGGUAGCACCCCUGUCUUGUAAACAGGGAGUCGGGGUUCGAGUCCUCGUGGAGGCU